UACGAAGGACCCAAGCGUUAUCCGGAUUUAUUGGGUUUAAAGGGUGCGUAGGCGGGUUAUUAAGUCAGUGGUGAAAGCCUGCAGCUUAACUGCAGAACUGCCAUUGAUACUGAUGAUCUUGAGUAUGAUUGAGGUGGGCGGAAUGUGUCAUGUAGCGGUGAAAUGCUUAGAUAUGACACAGAACACCGAUUGCGAAGGCAGCUCACUAAGCCAUAACUGACGCUGAUGCACGAAAGCGUGGGGAGCAAACAGGG
rnacentral:rRNA from 1 species